UACCGAGCGCCGAGAGGCGACGGGAUGAGCGUGCAGAAGUCAGCUGAAGCCGUAGUAAUCGCCGAAACCGGGGCGAUGAAGGGC
rnacentral:ncRNA from 1 species